rnacentral:tRNA from 1 species
UAUGCGUUGGUGUAAAGCACGUGAAGUUUUGAACUUUUAGGUUGUGGUGAGAAUCCUCUACGUGUAA